rnacentral:snRNA from 1 species
GUGCUCACUUUGGCAGCACAUAUACUAAAAUUGGAAUGAUACAGAGACGAUUAGCAUG